rnacentral:lncRNA from 1 species
UCAUCACUAGUAGAUCAAAGCUACUGAGUAGCGAGCACAGCAACAACAGAGACUUGUCCUCCUCCUCUAGAGCCACACCUAAAUUAAGUAAAUUGAUACCCAACUGAUCAAAUCGCUGAACAUGCCCUAGUAUAUCUCCACCUCCUAUCCGAAGGCUAUAGAGCUAUUUUUUCAGUAUGAGUUAGUAGCACAUGUUCCUCCCGAUGUACAAGGUGUAUAAUCUUGAC